rnacentral:rRNA from 1 species
CCUACGGGAGGCAGCAGUGGGGAAUAUUGGGCAAUGGGCGCAAGCCUGACCCAGCAAUGCCGCGUGAAGGAAGAAGGCUUUCGGGUUGUAAACUUCUUUGACAGGGGAAGAGCAGAAGACGGUACCCUGAAAACAAGCCACGGCUAACUACGUGCCAGCAGCCGCGGUAAUACGUAGGUGGCAAGCGUUGUCCGGAUUUACUGGGUGUAAAGGGCGUGUAGCCGGGAAGGCAAGUCAGAUGUGAAAUCUGGAGGCUCAACCUCCAAAUUGCAUUUGAAACUGUUUUUCUUGAGUACUGGAGAGGCAGACGGAAUUACGUGUGUAGCGGUGAAAUGCGUAGAUAUAAGGAGGAACACCAGUGGCGAAGGCGGUCUGCUGGACAGCAACUGACGGUGAGGCGCGAAAGCGUGGGGAGCAAACAGGAUUAGAUACCCCAGUAGUC